GUCAUAGAUUAGAUAGUUGAUAGAAUUGGAACGAUGCAGAGAAGAUGAACAUGGCUGCUGCACAAGGAUGACACACAAGUUUGUGAAGCAUUCCUUAUUUUU
rnacentral:snRNA from 1 species